rnacentral:sRNA from 1 species
GCUGGCUAACUUAAUAUUUGACACUUAUCCACACAGCACUAUCAACGAGACUCAACUACCACGGUAGAGUAUUACAACCUAUCUGGAAGUAGCCUGAAAGCAAACACUCAAGUGCUGCGAGAAAGGUCGCCGACAGGAAGAAUGAAGUAGCUGGUAUCCUUGGUAAGCAUCCCAGCAAGUCCUGUGUAUGCAGCUACCGCUGCAGUUACCUUUGAUCAGACAUGUGUCAGCUCUUUCGGUAAAAUAUUCCUAUCGAAUAGACUCACGAUACCGAAAGCGCCGCCAGCCUUGGUAGCGUUAGUGCUUGGUGCCAAAUAUCCCGCGGCGCUACAAAAGGUGAUGUCGAGGAAAACGAAUACAGCAAUGAGGGCGACGGACGAUCGAAGACAGGCAAGCAAGAGGAUGAAGGUGACAAGGGCCCAGGCAACAAGGUACAGACCCAAUGCGCUGUCAAGCAUGGCCGGAUCGUCAUACGAAGCGAGCACUUCAAAUUGUGGAAUGUAGAGAGCUGCAGAAAGCAGUGAGCACGCCAUUUCGUAUUUAAUGACGAAGUAUACCUACCUGCGAAAGAAAGCCAAAAGCCGCCCAGUAAGGACCCACUUACACCAAAUGUGUUACCGCACGCCCAUUCUUCGAUCCCCACGAUGAUCUGACAUAGACCUCCAUAACCUAAGGCCAUGCCAAGUAUCACGUUAUGUACCGUGACACCCCGAGCUGAGACGUUGAAGAGGGAAAGCAGAAAUGUAGUGGCUGCGAAACUUUGACAAAUGAUGUUCUAGUCAGAUCAGAUGUCCGAGGGCAAAGGAGAGACGGACCUACCUGAUCAGGCCCAAGGGGGCAGGAUUGCCAAAUUUCCUGUGGAAUACAGGGAAGGCUGGCUGACUUGUGUCCAUAGGAUGGCCACCUGGAGUUAUGAACCUUGUCAUUGGUCCACCUGUUCCGUGAUAACCAGUAGCACCAUUGGAGGGUGCGAAGGACGCGUUGUCGUUUGUCAAGUGUCGUUCUACUGCCUCAUCGUGACCGCUGGGGAGCUUCGUUUCAGACAUUGUCAGAAGAGAGUGGUUGAUGUUGCUGAGGAUGGCUGGGAGAGGAAAUUUGAGGAUGUUUGGGUCGUGCGGUGUGAUUUAUGACAAUCCAUAAACAGGUGAGUAUACCCGACCUAGCCGGGCGUUCAUAACGCCCCAUAAAAAUUUAGCAAGCACCUGACUGAGUUUCCGCUUGUUGACACUUAAUCGCCGAGCUCCGAUGAGUCCAAAAUAAUCCCACUUCCAACAUCAGCAUGGCCCAGCCUACAACAUAACCUGUAAUAGCCGAUCUCAUCAGCUACCGGCUAUUGUGUUUCGCGUCUUUAUCGGCUUGCGGUUUUCAUGUCCCACGCAGUGGCAACAACUUCCCGUUCCACUACUAAGUUCCGUUUGCCUCCGUUCCCAUUGUCCAACCUCGUAUACAGAAAUGCCGGCUCGAGAGAGCUGCUAAUGGAUAUAGCCUCCCGGCAUCGGUAAUCCCCAAUGAGCGCGUUCAGGUCAAAAGUCUGGGCGUCGGCGUCUCCUGUCGAGCGUCGUGGACUUUAGUGAUGUGGGCAGAAGUAUAGCUACUUUUUCCCGAUGUGACUUUGCCACGGUAAAACCUGCCAUGUAUGGCCGGCAAAACUUUUGAGGACCGCUUGGGUCCCAAGCAGAUAUAGACGGACAUCGCCGCCCUUAUAAAACAGUAGUACUGCAGUAGUAACUGGGUGCAUUAUUCAUCCUGUAGAGGGAAGGCCUGAUUAUGUAGUAUCAUUCGAUGAAAUGUUACGUCCUCA